rnacentral:rRNA from 1 species
GAUGAACGCUGGCGGCGUGCCUAAUACAUGCAAGUCGAGCGAACCUCUUCGGAGGUUAGCGGCGGACGGGUGAGUAACACGUGGGUAACCUGCCUGUAAGACUGGGAUAACUUCGGGAAACCGAAGCUAACACCGGAUACUUUUUUGAGUCGCAUGACUCGAAAUGGAAAGACGGCUUCGGCUGUCACUUACAGAUGGACCCGCGGCGCAUUAGCUAGUUGGUGAGGUAACGGCUCACCAAGGCGACGAUGCGUAGCCGACCUGAGAGGGUGAGCGGCCACACUGGGACUGAGACACGGCCCAGACUCCUACGGGAGGCAGCAGUAGGGAAUGUUCGGCAAUGGGCGAAAGCCUGACCGAGCAACGCCGCGUGAGUGAUGAAGGCUUUCGGGUCGUAAAACUCUGUUGUUAGGGAAGAACAAGAACGAGAGUAACUGCUCGUACCUUGACGGUACCUAACCAGAAAGCCACGGCUAACUACGUGCCAGCCGCCGCUGUAACAC